rnacentral:rRNA from 1 species
AUUGAACGCUGGCGGCAGGCCUAACACAUGCAAGUCGAGCGCGCGGCGGACGGGUGCGUAAUGUAUGGGGACUGCCCGUUAGAGGGGGAUAACUCCUGGAAACGGUAGCUAAUACCGCAUACUAUCGGAUAACGCAUAUGUGAUUAGCUAGUAGGUGCGGUAAUGGCUCACCUAGGCGACGAUCCCUAGCUGGUCUGAGAGGAUGAUCAGCGACACUGGGACGGGGACACGGCCCAGACUCGUACGGAGGCAGCAGUGGGGAAUAUUGCACAAGGGGCGCAAGCCUGAUGCAGCCAUGCCGCGUGUAUGAAGAAGGCCCUAGGGUUGUAAAGUACUUUCAGUCGGGAGGCGUUACCGAAAGAAGAAGCACCGGCUAACUCCGUGCCAGCAGCCGCGGUAAUUC